UACGUAGGGUGCGAGCGUUAAUCGGAAUUACUGGGCGUAAAGCGUGCGUAGGCGGUUUCAUAAGCUUGAUGUGAAAGCCCCGGGCUCAACCUGGGAAUGGCAUUGAGGACUGUGGAGCUAGAGUGCGGCAGAGGGAGGUGGAAUUCCACGUGUAGCAGUGAAAUGCGUAGAGAUGUGGAGGAACACCGAUGGCGAAGGCAGCCUCCUGGGCCGACACUGACGCUGAGGGCACGAAGCGUGGGAGCAACAGG
rnacentral:rRNA from 1 species